UACGUAGGUGGCAAGCGUUGUCCGGAAUUACUGGGUGUAAAGCGCGCGUAGGCGGACCUGCAAGUCGGGGGUGAAAGCCCGAGGCUCAACCUCGGAACUGCCUUCGAUACUGCGGGUCUCGAGUCCGGGAGAGGUGAGUGGAAUUCCUAGUGUAGAGGUGAAAUUCGUAGAUAUUAGGAAGAACACCAGUGGCGAAGGCGGCUCACUGGCCCGGUACUGACGCUGAGGCGCGAAAGCGUGGGGAGCAAACAGG
rnacentral:rRNA from 1 species